rnacentral:miRNA from 1 species
CUCCGCUGGAAACCUCUGGUC